AGCGGAAACCUCUCAGUUCGGCUAAGCCGUUUCCUCUCCCUGCCCACCCCACCCUCAGUGCCAGCAGCCAUUUGUGCGGAAGAUCCUGGUGGACACAAGGGCAGGCUCUACCACAUUGCACGAAAUUAAAAGGAGCAUGACGAGCAUUUCCUGCUUGCCCAACCCAUUGGAACAAGGAGAACCAGAUUUUAUAAACCUUUCUACCUCGGAACCAUGCUGCAGGUGAUAAAACUAUGAAUUAACAUGUCAGCAGUUUAUUUUACAAGCUGUAAUUUAUCAACCUACAUCCAAUCUCCCCCCCCCCCAAAAAUUAUUUUCAAUAUUACUUUUUUCCCAUUGUUUUCAUUAUUUAAUCUUUUAAUUUGUUUCAUUCUUCAGUUCACAUGUUUUGUAGCAACUAUUGGUAUAAAGCUGCUUUUGAUGUUCCAAGUGUGACCAUGGCGCUCUCUAGCGCAGUAUUGCCAACACUGGCUGGCAGCUGCUCUUUGUUGUUUCAGACAGGUCUUUUCCACAGCCCUAGCUCAAUAUGCCAGAGACUGAACCUGGUAUGUGCCCCACCAUUUAUAGCCCUUCAUUAUAUUUGUUUCUGUUUAUCUUGGAGGAAACACAUCCAAAAACCACGAGAACGCCCUGAGUGGAAGGGUGUCCUAUCUGCCCACCUUGGCACCCGUGGGAAACUCACAAAACCAGCUGAGCCUGGAACUGGGCGCAUGCAGUGCAGCUAGGUGAGUGCUGAGUGGGAGGCAGCUCUGGGCAGCUCCACAGGCAUAGUCAGGAUUUUUUUGGGGGGGGGAGGGGCAGAAUCUCAAUUUGCUAUGCAUUUUUAUUUAUUUUUAUUGAUUGGGGGGCAGCUGCCACUCCCUGCCUCCACUUGGCUACACCCAUGCAUUGACCUUGGUGGCUGCCCAUCAAAGCAAGCCUAAAGCGAGAGACUAGGCUGAUGUCAGCAUGUUCCAGGAAUCUUCUUUGCUUGUGAGUGUUUGAGGGUUAUCUGUGAGCUGGGUGAGAUCAAGAUGGGUGGCAUUUUGGUGAGCACUAGGAGCUUCAGAGGGGCAGAGUGAGGAGCUGCAUUGGAAGAAUAGUGUUAUCCUUAUAGGUUUUAUUGUGAAUUUUGUAACUUUUGUUGUUUUUCCAUUUUCUGCACACUAAGAAAUAUUUUUAUAUAUUAAAGGAGAUAGAAAUGAAAUACAUAUCAUACACGGAGAGAGUUAGCAACAGUAAUUUUAUUUUCCCAGAAUGUUCCAUUCUAGAACAGGUAUGGGGAACCUUUAGCCCUCCAGAUGUUGCUAAACUAUACCUACCAUCACCCCUGCCAUUGGCCAUGCUUGCUAAGGCUGAUGGGAAUUGUAGUUCAGGAAAUAUCCGCCCCCCCAAAAAAAAGUUCCCCUCACAUCUGAUCUAGGGGAAAUACUGGUAGCUUCCAUUGGUGGUCACUGUAGCAUUUUGUGUUUUCUUUGAAAUAAGAGGCUGACAAAAAUCGGUUGUUGCAAGCGGAGAAAAAGGUAGAUCCUUCCCACGUCUGAUAAAUUGUCACAAAACGCAUACAGAAAAUGAACUGUAGCUCAUGCAUUUACUUUCUCAAAAAAAGCAAGUCACGUUUGGUUCAGCAAAACAAGUGGCCAUGACUACUUCCUUUCACAGAAUUGGGUUCUAUGGGCUGCAGCAUCUUGAAAAGAAUUAAGGAGCCCCAGCAUCAAUCUGCAAGAAAAAGAGCUGCCUCUACAAAGCCUGGAAAUACUAUCUCCUAAAAGGAAGGAUAUGCUUUUUCACAAUUCCAGUCGUAAUCUAGUUUUGUAGUAUUAAAAGUGUCACCUAACAUCUCACGUCACUCACUCUGAUGUCAAUAAGGAAGUUAGAUAGUCCAAGAGGAAAUUACUCAGCAUCCUUUACAUGUCCCAUGGCUGACUAAUCAAGAACUAAUAGGAUGCUAGGAACACUUUUCAUGGGAUCUUCCUGGUUAGUGUAUUUUUAGCUCUAAUCUUGCAGGACAUAGAACUGUGUGCCAGGAUCUUGUAAAUGGAAGCAGAUAAACCUGCAAAUCAGCAUAUAAGCAAUUACAGGGCUGUGUACGACACCAGCAGUACAGUAGCUCCUUCUACACUUGUGGAAAGGGUUUGUGCUGACUGCUUUGUGAGACACCUCGAGCAGUUUACUGGUAUACGUUGGAAGCUGCUGCUGAGCUAUUAAUACUGAGGAUGAGGAAGAAGUGCCUUCUCCAGUUGCGUUGGAGUCAAGGAAACAUCUUAGGCAACUGCCAACAUUAUAUCUCCAACCAUGUGAAGGAACAUGGUUUUAGGUAUCUCAUGUUAAGGAUUGCAGGUGAUGGGAAAUGUUUCUGCUCAAGCAUUGCUCAUACAAAGAUAAUGCCAGAAACUCCAGUGCUCAGUUUCGUAUGUUCAUGUUGAACUGAGCAAUCUUUCCUCCAUACCAAGCAUAUUUCUUGGUGAGGUCUCCAUGUAUCAUGUAAAGCCAGACCAGAAUAAAUUAUUCCUCUCCUGAACAGUGAUUUUAACCAUUGAUAACUGUAAAAAGGUAAAGGUAAAGGACCCCUGACAGUUAAGUCCAGUCACAGAUGACUUUGGGGUUGCGGCGCUCAUCUUGCUUAACUGGCCGAGGGAGCCAUAGGACUCCUUAAAUCUGCUCCAGGUGGUUCUAUUCUGGAGCAGAUUUGGUGGUAAAAGCACUGGGGGUGGGGGGUGGAGCAAGUUACUUCACUAUUGUAAAAGUCAUUUUACAUGUGCAACGAAUUAGGUGGUUACAACCCUUUUUUUUUAUGUGCUUGCAGAUUUCAAGAGAAACACCAAAGCUCCCCAUUCUGCUAUGAUAAAAAAUGAGCAGGAAAGUAUGUUCCCACAACCUUUGACCUCAACAGUCAGUGCCAAAAUGGGGGUGGGUGAGGAGGACACUUUGUGCUACCAUCAAAGUUAUAGAAAUGAAAUUAUUUGCACAUGUGUGCAUUCAGAUAUGCUAAAAUGCAUAUUACAGAGAAGUCUGAAGAGUCCUGGACUAACAAUCUGUUCAACAACUUUGUCUUGAUCACAACGUCUGCGUCCUGAUUUCAUGCCAACGACAUUGUCAAGCUGUGAAGGAACAAUUCAAUUCAGACUCACUUCCAGAAUGAAGUAAAGAAACUUGCUGCACCCCAGCUCCUGUCCACCUAGCAGUUUGAAAGCACAUCAAAGUGCAAGUAGAUAAAUAGGUACUGCUCCAGCGGGAAGGCAAACGGCGCUUCCGUGCGCUGCUCUGGUUUGCCAGAAGUGGCUUAGUCAUGGUGGCCACAUGACCCGGAAGCUGUCUGUGGACAAACGCCAGCUCCCUUGACCUAUAGAGCGAGAUGAGAGCCGCAACCCGAGUGUCGUCCGCGACUGGACCUAAUGGUCAGGUGUACCUUUACCUUUAUUCUGCCAUACCUUAGCAACACC